rnacentral:rRNA from 1 species
CCUACGGGAGGCAGCAGUGAGGAAUAUUGGUCAAUGGACGAGAGUCUGAACCAGCCAAGUAGCGUGAAGGAUGACUGCCCUAUGGGUUGUAAACUUCUUUUAUAUGGGAAUAAAACGUUCCACGUGUGGGAUUUUGUAUGUACCAUAUGAAUAAGGAUCGGCUAACUCCGUGCCAGCAGCCGCGGUAAUACGGAGGAUCCGAGCGUUAUCCGGAUUUAUUGGGUUUCAAGGGAGCGUAGGUGGAUUGUUAAGUCAGUUGUGAAAGUUUGCGGCUCAACCGUAAAAUUGCAGUUGAAACUGGCAGUCUUGAGUACAGUAGAGGUGGGCGGAAUUCGUGGUGUAGCGGUGAAAUGCUUAGAUAUCACGAAGAACUCCGAUUGCGAAGGCAGUUCACUGGACUGCAACUGACACUGAGGCUCGAAAGUGUGGGUAUCAAACAGGAUUAGGUACCCGGGUAGUC